CGCUCGUUCACAAUAAAGAUACAAAAAUAAUUUAUUAGAAGAGAGGGGAAAAGUCUUGCCAGAUAAGAAAUACAAUGUGAGUUUCUUGAACUGUACAGAAGUUUGCCAUCAGCAACAGAUGAUCCCAGAGCCCAUGGAUUUAAAGCAAACUGGCAUUUUAUCAUAUCUCCUAUUGGUAACGACUCACUGAAACUUCUAUCCUCCAAUUCUACAGGUUAACGAAAAGAGUUGUUAGAAAUCAAAUUUCCAUCUUCUAUCUAUCUUUUUAUUUUCUCUUGGCAUACAGCACUAACUUUACUUACGUACAUAGCUAACAUUCUUCUUCAGACUGUCAUCUUGCUUGUAAGCACUGAAAACCCUUUAUUUGGCUGUGCUAUUCUCCCUGUAUCCCUUUAGAGAGCUACUACAAAAAUAAUUUUCCUUGCUUUACUUACAUCUGCUUCUCUCACAUCCUUUUUGCCAUGUCAAACACAGGCCAUUUAGCUUUGAUUGCAAGUCCCUUUACUGUUCCCAUCCCACCCACGAUGCUGAUUUCCAAAGGACUGCAGCACCUGCCUCCAUUUCCAGCUUCUAAAAUGAAGAAAUACUUUCAUGCUAUCUCCUACUUUGUUUCAGAUAUCUGAAAGUAGUUCAAACAUCUGUUAAGCUUUCUUUUUAAGUCAUUCUUCAAGGCUCUCUCAGUCCUGAGUCCUAUCUAUUAUUUUUACAUCCAUCACAUCAAUUAAGGAAGUUCUUAUUACAACUGUGUACUGUUGUGUUCACUACUAUGUUCACAUCAUGUGCCUAUGGAAAAUUCAGGCAUCUACUUCUGGACUAACCCCCACUCUUCAUAAACUCUUCUUGGUUCUGAUACCAUCCUCUUGCUUUGAACUUAGUGGGGAAAUCCAGCACUCACAUGGAGCUCCUUGAAGCUAUAGAAGCAGCAGGGAACAACAACAACAACAAAACACCUUUCCUCCCCCCCCUCAGUUAUGCAGAAUUACUGUACAGUUGCUAUGUGAUUUAUCAGCCGAGACCUCACAAGGGAACAGAUGAGACUACGCCAGGGAAAUAACUGCAAGUCACAGAGGAGCAUUGUAGACUAUCCCCCCUCCAUGUUACAAAUGCUAUUCUACUACUAUUCCCUAUGUUAACCUAAACUUUGAUGUUUAUCUGCACUGCAUUAUGCCCCUACCACUCUGUAUCCCAAUUCCCCAUCCCUGCAUAACUCCUCGCGUGAUCUUCACAGAGAAUUCAGCAGGCCGGUACCUGCCGCCGAAGACCCGAAGCAUUGCUGCUUUGUGGUGCUGCUGCUGCCUGACGCACCGCUCAGCGGCCCCGC
ensembl:lncRNA